rnacentral:rRNA from 1 species
GCUACUGACGCUGAGGAGCGAAAGCGUGGGGGACCGGACAGGAUUAGAUACCCUGGUAGUCCACGCCGUAAACGUUGGGCGCUAGCUGUGGGCUCCAUUCCACGGAGUCCGUGACGAAGUUAACACAUUAAGCGCCCCGCCUGGGGAGUACGGCCGCAAGGCUAAAACUCAAAGGAAUUGACGGGGGCCCGCACAAGCGGCGGAGCAUGCGGAUUAAUUCGAUGCAACGCGAAGAACCUUACCAAGUCUUGACAUAUAGAGGAAAAGUGCAGAAAUGUACUCCCCGCAAGGUCUCUAUACAGGUGGUGCAUGGUUGUCGUCAGCUCGUGUCGUGAGAUGUUGGGUUAAGUCCCGCAACGAGCGCAACCCUCGUCCUAUGUUGCCAGCACGUUAUGGUGGGAACUCAUGGGAGACUGCCGGUGUCAAACCGGAGGAAGGUGGGGAUGACGUCAAAUCAUCAUGCCCCUUAUGACUUGGGCUUCACGCAUGCUACAAUGGCCGGUACAAAGGGCUGCAAUACCGUAAGGUGGAGCGAAUCCCAAAAAGCCGGUCUCAGUUCGGAUUGAGGUCUGCAACUCGACCUCAUGAAGUUGGAGUCGCUAGUAAUCGCAGAUCAGCAACGCUGCGGUGAAUACGUUCCCGGGCCUUGUACACACCGCCCGUCAAGUCACGAAAGUCGGUAACACCCGAAGCCGGUGGCCUAACCGUAAGGAAG